GCCAGGCAUGGUGGUGCACACCUGUAAUCCCAGCGGCUCUGGAGGCUGAAACAGGAGGAUCUCAAGUUCAGUCAGCCUCAGCAACUUAGCAAGGCCCUAAGGAACUCAGUGAGACCCUGUCUCUA
rnacentral:sRNA from 1 species